GCAUCUGGCAGAACGUGUGAGCAGCCCGGGUCGCCGUGGAUCGACCGCAAAAGCUUUCACACGAAAAUGAUUCAGGAAAACGUCACUGGGAAAACAGGUCCAGUGCGUUUCAACAUUAACGGCGAAAGAACAAGCACUAUUUACGAAA